rnacentral:rRNA from 1 species
UACGAAGGGGGCUAGCGUUGUUCGGAAUUACUGGGCGUAAAGCGCACGUAGGCGGGUUUGUAAGUUGGGGGUGAAAUCCCAGGGCUCAACCCUGGAACUGCCUUCUAGACUGCAAGCCUGGAGGUCAGGAGAGGCGAGUGGAAUACCGAGUGUAGAGGUGAAAUUCGUAGAUAUUCGGUGGAACACCAGUGGCGAAGGCGACUCGCUGGACUGAUACUGACGCUGAGGUGCGAAAGCGUGGGGAGCAAACAGG